AAUUUACUAAUUUGUUAAAAGUAUUGGACAAACAUUUCGUAACUUAAAAACGAAUGAUAGUAAAGUUAACAGAUACAAAUAGUACAUGUAUCACAAUUGCAUCAAACGAAGUAUGUCUAAUGUUGGAAAGAGCCAUUAGUCACAACAAAGCUGGCAUUUUAUUUUUAUUCACUUAUUAAUUUCAGACAAAUUUUUGGCUAUGUAAUUUUUUACAAUAAAAUAUUUUUACAAUAAAAUAUUUCCAAAAAUUUAAAUUCAUUGAAAAUUUGAUUGACAUAUGUUACGUCUUUUUUAAAAUUGCAGAUUCUUAAUUCGUUUUGUAUACACGUAGAUAAAAAAGUAUAGAAAUACAUAGAAUAGUAUGAUCCUUGUUUGGAAACUUUCUUUGUUUUAGUGUAAAGAAUGCCAUUAAAUCUAAGACAAAUCAUUGAAAAUAAAAGGAGCUUUCAGCAAGAGACACAGGUGUCAUUCUGUCUUUGUUAUUCGACGAGAGAUAAAGACAGAUUGAUUCUGUGUGUUUUACGCUAGAAAAUUCCUAAAAUAACGGUGUCUCAGGUCAGUUUUUUAACAAUAGUAGAAUAGUAAGAUUGAUUCAAAUUUUGAUAUAAGCCUGAAAAAUGGAUAAAGCUGUAUUUUCUCUAAAAUGUUUUAAGAUUGUAGCAUUGAUUUUCGCGCGUUACUUUCAAUAAAUCUCUCUGUGAGAAUGCGAUAGCAACAAUAACUGACACAAGAUUCACGCGUCGAGAAAUCACUCGCACGAAGGAAUACGAAAAAAAAAAUGACAAAGGCAAAGUGGGACUUUGCUCGUCCCCCCGUUUUUCGAGUCACUCGUACGGCAUUGGCAUAACAAACGGCGAUGCGCGCGCACGCCGUUCCCGGCCGGUGCAAGGGACGAGGACAGUGCAUCGAUACGAGCGAGUGAUCGAGAGCGAGAGGGGAACGGGCGUACGAAGGAAGAAACGAGUGAACGAGAGAGACAAAGCGUAACGAGGAUAGACACAGUUUGUGAGAGGGCAACGGGGUGAGCGGGGUGGUGUGGUAUACCCCGUCGACUCAUCUGCGUGUAGUCGUGCAACGCGUGCGAAAUCUACGAGUCACACUACUUCCGAACUGGCUCGUGUUUACACGGCAGUAAGUUCAGUCUCGCUCCCACUCUUUGCUCUCUCGCACCCGUGAACGUCUCUCCCGCGCGCGCGGUUUCCGUCUCUCCGUUAGGCGUGUGCGCGGGUGUGCGUGUGCGCGUACGCGACUCGUGCGUGCGCGUAACUUCGCUGCGUGAAGUUUACGUGUCGCGCGUCGUGAGUGUGUGUCGGUGGUAGCUGCGCGCGCGCCUGUGUGAGUCGUGUGUGUUAUGUGCUUGCGCGCGCGCACGUAGCACGUAUGCGUUAUGUACAUCGUGCGGCCGCAGUGAUACACCGUUCCCGUGUUGCGAGACGCUCUCGGUCGGAGCGCGCGCGACAAAGCGAGAUUCGCCGAGGACGAGAGCCGCGCUCGGCGGCGGUAAUGACAACAAUAACGACAACGAUCACGACGACGUUGCGAUGCGCGGUAGAGAGUCGAAGGCAACGACAGUGAUUAGUGAAGUGCGAGCAACGGUGAAGUGAACGGACGAUAACGAUAACGACAACGACGACGACGACGACGACGACGACGACGACGACGUCGACGUCGACGGCGACAGCGACAGCGAGUGAGCAGCAGGGUCGUGCUCGCGGUCGAAGACAAUAGAACGCGCGCAAGAGUGGAACGCGAGGCCUACGGUGGCACGAUACCGGAAAGACGACGAGGUUGCUGGAAUUAAGUACGGAAGAACGAUGAGAACUU